UCUCUCCCCUUUUUUUUUUAAAGUGUUUAUUUUUGAGAGAGUGUGUGUGUGAGCACAGGAGGGGCAGAGACAGAGGGAGACAGAGGAUCCAAAACAAAGCAGGUUCUGCAUGAGAGCCCCACGUGGGGCUCAAAUUCACGAACCACGAGAUCAGGACCUGAGCUGAAUUCGGACAUUUAACUGACGAAGCCAUCCACGUGCCCCUAAAUUUUCUCCUUUAAAAUUUUUUUUAAUGUUUUUAUUUAUUUUUGAGACAGAGAGAGACAGAGCAUGAGCAGGGGAGGGGCAGAGAGAGAGAGGGAGACACGGAAUCCGAAGCAGGCUCCAGGCUCCGAGCCGUCAGCCCAGAGCCCGACGCGGGGCUCGAAUUUACAAGCCAUGAGAUCGUGACCUGAGCCAAAGCCAGACGCCCCUCUCCUUUUUUCUUGCUGAAAAUUCAUGCGUUUAUAGUCAUCAGUUAUGAUACCUGGUGAAUCUCAGCCAACACGGACUGCAGGAAAGGAAAACCCAUCGCCAGCUCAACAUGACAUGCGAGAAGGGUCGUGAUUUCAGUGACAGAGUUUGUACCCAGAGCCAGUGGUGUGGUAAAUGCUGCCACACGCACAAAGCAGCGAGGCAGGCUGGCAAAACUAAUUGGACCAGAAACUUCCCUCAGCUUCUCCCGGAGGCCUCUGCACGGUCCUGGAAGGACCCGUGUUCCCAGGAGGUCACAGCCCCUGCUCCGUGGCUCCGUGGCCAGUCUGCAGGGCAGAGCCCAAGGUCCGCUGCAUGUAAGAGUGGAAGUUAACCCCAGAGGUGAGUUCCGGGGAUCUGGGCAGAAAGAGGAGGGUCGUCAUAGCCGCCAGCACCGAAGACGGUGCGGACGUGGGGUCCUCUGAUGCCAGUCCUGCUCCCGCUGCCCUCCGUCUCCAGCACGAACCGUGGGACCAGGGACAGUCCCUCCUGGACCCCAUCCCCUUAGUGGGGAGAUGGGGGGUGGUUGCUUAUCUUACUGGGUGAAUCAAAGGAAUCAAUGGAAAUGAAGAAUAUUCACAAAUUAAUCAUGUAAACUGGAGACACCAGCUAAGUGUAAGGCAUGAACAAGUCCCACUAAACUGCCUUUCAAUUCUGCCUUUAUUUCCUUAAUGUGUUUAUGAUAGGUAAUUAUUCCAUACAUCGCAUGGGAACAUCAUGUCACUUUCUGCAAGUAAAGAAUCUUAUA